CACCGUUCCGAGGGGUGCUCCGAGGAGGAGCUGAGAUACCGCUAAAUGGGCAAAUCCGCCCAGGACCGCGGUGACCCUUUGAACCUGAUCCGGGUCAUGCCGGCGAAGGGACAGGGAUGUUACAGACG
rnacentral:ncRNA from 2 species